GAGGGUACAGCUCAAGUGGUAGAGCACGUGCUUAGCAUGCACGAGGUCCUGGGUUCAAUACCAGUACCUCUU
rnacentral:tRNA from 1 species